rnacentral:lncRNA from 1 species
AUACUUCUCAAUUUGAUGGAGAUUAUAUUUCAAAACUUCCUAAAAGUAAUCAGUAUCCAAGCCCUAAAAGGUGUUUCUCUUCCUAUGAUGAUAUGAAUUUGAAAAGAAGAACUUCAUUCCCACUCAUGAGAUCCAAGUCUCUACAGUUAACUGGCAAAGAAGGUAGAUUUCUGUGGAUAUAUAAUAUGUAUAUAUAAACAUGAAACUAGCUUCUGGCAUAAAUAUAAUGUCAGUGUUGUGUUCAUGACCAUCUGCAACAAAAAAUGGAUACAAGUAGCCUUUGUCUUUGUGCUGUGUCAAGCCACUUUAUCAUUUUCACAUUUUAUAUCUGUCUUUGUUCCUAAAAGCCCAGAGGGUAGGGAGGGGGGCUUAGUUUAAUUAGCAGUUGGUAGCUUUGUUUGCACAUGCUCCUGUUUAGAAGUAUUUCUUUUUAGAAAGGGAUGUUUGAGAAAGUUCAACAGAUAUGGAAAACCUGAAUGUGCUCCCAUAGCAUCCUGUGCUUUUCUGCCUCCUCUUCUUAUACAGGUAGGACCCCUUUUGUCUCUAGUUUAGGACUAUGAGGCACUUUCUGAACAAAAAU